CCUACGGGAGGCAGCAGUGGGGAAUAUUGCACAAUGGGGGAAACCCUGAUGCAGCGACGCCGCGUGAGUGAGGAAGUAUUUCGGUAUGUAAAGCUCUAUCAGCAGGGAAGAAAAUGACGGUACCUGACUAAGAAGCCCCGGCUAACUACGUGCCAGCAGCCGCGGUAAUACGUAGGGGGCAAGCGUUAUCCGGAUUUACUGGGUGUAAAGGGAGCGUAGACGGCUAAUCAAGUCAGAAGUGAAAUCCCGGGGCUUAACCCCGGAACUGCGUUGGAAACUGUGCGGCUGGAGUGCAGGAGGGGUAAGCGGAAUUCCUAGUGUAGCGGUGAAAUGCGUAGAUAUUAGGAGGAACAUCAGGGGCGAAGGCGACUUACUGGACUGUAACUGACACUGAGGCACGAAAGCGUGGGGAGCAAACAGGAUUAGAUACCCUGGUAGUC
rnacentral:rRNA from 1 species